rnacentral:rRNA from 1 species
GAUGAACGCUGGCGGCGUGCCUAAUACAUGCAAGUCGAGCGAACAGACGAGGAGCUUGCUCCUCUGACGUUAGCGGCGGACGGGUGAGUAACACGUGGAUAACCUACCUAUAAGAUUGGGAUAACUUCGGGAAACCGGAGCUAAUACCGGAUAAUAUAUUGAACCGCAUGGUUCAAUAGUGAAAGACGGUUUUGUUGUCACUAAUAGAUGGAUCCGCGCCGCAUUAGCUAGUUGGUAAGGUAACGGCUUACCAAGGCAACGAUGCGUAGCCGACCUGAGAGGGUGAUCGGCCACACUGGAACUGAGACACGGUCCAGACUCCUACGGGAGGCAGCAGUAGGGAAUCUUCCGCAAUGGGCGAAAGCCUGACGGAGCAACGCCGCGUGAGUGAUGAAGGUCUUCGGAUCGUAAAACUCUGUUAUUAGGGAAGAACAAAUGUGUAAGUAACUAUGCACGUCUUGACGGUACCUAAUCAGAAAGCCACGGCUAACUACGUG